CCAAUAGCGUAUAUUAAAGUUGUUGCAGUUAAAAAGCUCGUAGUUGAAUUUCGGGAUCAAUACGACGGUCGUGCUUCGGUACGUACUGGCGUCAUUGAUUUCUCCCUUCUGACGAACCAUGAUGUCAUUAACUUGGUGUCAUGGGAAAUCAGGACUGUUACUUUGAAAAAAUUAGAGUGUUUAAAGCAGGCGCACGCUUGAAUACAUUAGCAUGGAAUAAUGAAAUAGGACGUUCGAUCCUAUUUUGUUGGUUUUAGGAUCAACGUAAUGAUUAAUAGGGAUAGUUGGGGGCAUUAGUAUUCAAUUGUCAGAGGUGAAAUUCUUGGAUUUAUUGAAGACUAACUACUGCGAAAGCAUUUGCCAAGGAUGUUUUCAUUAAUCAAGAACGAAAGUUAGGGGAUCGAAGACGAUCAGAUACCGUCGUAGUCUUAACCAUAAACUAUGCCGACUAGGGAUCGGAUGAUGUUAAUUUUUUAAUGACUCAUUCGGCGCCUUACG
rnacentral:rRNA from 1 species